rnacentral:rRNA from 1 species
GACGAAGGAUGCAAGCGUUAUCCGGAUUCAUUGGGUUUAAAGGGAGCGUAGGCGGCCUUGUAAGUCAGUGGUGAAAUCUCUGGGCUUAACCCAGAAAAUUGCCAUUGAUACUGCAGGGCUUGAGUACAGUUGCCGUUGGCGGAAUAUGACAUGUAGUGGUGAAAUACAUAGAGAUGUCAUAGAACACCGAUUGCGAAGGCAGCUAACGAAACUGUAACUGACGCUGAGCUCGAAAGUGUGGGGAUCAAACAGG